GGGCAGCACGGCGGGGAUGAGAAGGUAAGAGGCUGUAUGGAUGCAAGAAGGGGCUGAUGGGGGUCCAGGCCCAUGGGGCAUCACCAGUGGGGCUGGCAAUGGGGUGAGGUGCUCCCUGCUACGGGCAGAGCAGAGGAUGCAGAAUGGGGACCAGCAGGCUCCUUACUUCAUAGGUGCUGAAGAGAGGCCAUCCCUCCACACAGAGCAUGUUCCACCUCUUCUCCCACUGCUGGUCGUGGCUGCAGGCCAUACAGGAGCCCAUCAGGAAGGUCACACUGCUUGUGUUGGGGCUGGACAACGCUGGGAAAACCUCCAUCAUCAUGGACCUAGACAGAGCCCUGCCCAGUGAGGUGCUGCCCAUGGCACAGCCUGCCCAGACCCGCCUGCGAGUGGAGCGCUUCGAGGUGACCCUGCUGGACCUGCCCGGGGGCCCGCGCUCCCGCAGCGCCUG
rnacentral:lncRNA from 14 species